GUGCCUAAUACAUGCAAGUCGAACGGUCUUUCUAUGGAAGCUUGCUCCACUGAGAAGAUAGUGGCGAACGGGUGAGUAACGACGUGGGUAACCUGCCCAUAAGAGGGGGAUAACAUCCGGAAACGGGUGCUAAUACCGCAUAGUUUUCUUGAUUGCAUGAUUGAGAAGGAAAGACGGCCUUUGUGCUGUCGCUUAUGGAUGGACCCGCGGCGUAUUAGUUAGUUGGUGAGGUAACGGCUCACCAAGACGAUGAUACGUAGCCGACCUGAGAGGGUGAUCGGCCACAUUGGGACUGAGACACGGCCCAAACUCCUAUGGGAGGCAGCAGUAGGGAAUCUUCCGCAAUGGACGAAAGUCUGACGGAGCAACGCCGCGUGAGUGAAGAAAAGGUUUUCGGAUCGUAAAACUCUGUUGUCAGAGAAGAACAAGUUGGAGAGUAACUGCUCCAGCCUUGACGGUAUCUGACCAGAAAGCCACGGCUAACUACGUGCCAGCAGCGGC
rnacentral:rRNA from 1 species